UAUUUUUGCCAGUGCGUGGCUAAGAUGGGACUGAAUCCUGGGUAAUCUGAUUCCAGGAUCAAAAAUUUCCCCUGGUAACAAGCUGAUAAACUGUUUAAAGAGAGAGUUGAAAUGAGCAGCUAUAAACGGUGAGCACAGAGCACCUGUCCAGUCUGUCUGGUCAGGGCCGAGCUGGACAGAGCGACACGCUCCCACAGAGCAGGAAGGGUGGCGAUGCUGAUUAUGCUUUCCAUUAAUGCUUUAUUAAAAGUUCAUCUGUUCAGACGACCCCACCAGUGGGCCUGGGAUAAUCUUGGAUACGCUCUGCUGUUUCCUUCCUUCUGUGGAUACCAAGGCGGGCAGGACCGGUGGGGUCACACUGCGCCCCGCUGCUUGCUGCCUCUGGCGGAACAAGUCUCUCCCUCUUUCCUCCCAAGCCUGCCUCCCCCCUCCAGUGCCCCAUGGCGCCAGCCCUCUUGACCAGACCCAGCCAUUCAUUUCCAUGCUCGGCUUUUCCUCUCAGCAGCCCCUCUCAGCAGUGAGCUCUGCCCCUUACUCAGCCUCAGUAAUUAGUUGUGCUAUUAUUGUGAAUUAAUCAUACAAGCAAGUCAAUGUUUAGUCUAAUUAAGAGUGAAGCCAACAAAUUAUUUAAAGCACCACUCCAGCAGAAUUUGCAUUCAGCCUUGUUCCAGCAGCCGGCCAAGCGCUUCAGCUGUGGACUCACGUGCCUGCGAGCUUUACCACUGUAGCGUGAAGCCCUCUCUCCACCCCAGCUCCUGAGCCCUGCCCGGGGCCUCCACCCUUCACCCAUCCCGACCUGCCCAUCCUUCUGAAAAGAACAGCCUGUCUCUCUGUUCAUCCACUAUACUUUUAAUUGAUAGCUUUGUACUUGAAUAAUUUUGUCAGUUUAAGUCAUGCAAAACUGUACAGUUUGACAUUACUGAAGAGUAGUUCAAUUUUUCCUUGCUAUUUACCAAAACAAAUUUAGCUCUUUAGAAACAGAGAAACAAACGCACACUCCAUCCUUGGAACGAAACCAUCAGAGUGAACAACAGGGGGCGUGUCAAGCACCUUGGCCCUUGACGAGCAACAGCAAGUGAAGUUUAACAGUAAAAAGACGCACCAGGGGUCCCACUUCUAGGAAGACAGUGGAAAUAAUGUGCGGAGACCUAUACCUCUGGCAGCAGGGACUGAGGCUGUGAAUCGGAGAAUCUUUUCCAGCGCGGCGCGUGCACACGCCGCGGACCAGCUCAUCGGUCGCGCUUCAGGAGAUGAGGCCAUGCCUGUUAGGUUUCAGGAAAGCGUCCAUUUCAAACGUCCCCUCUGGCCACUUCCUCUAGACCAGCCCCCGCACCGCGUCAGCUCUCCGACCGACUGCUCGAUGCCGGUUCUCACUAAGACCAUCAGGAAGGGGACAGAGGGGACAGGCCACGUCUACUCCAUUUUCGUCAUACCCCCCACUUAAUUCUUCCCUUCAUUUUUUUCAGGUCCUGAAUAUGACUAUGAAUACAAAUACUUAUUUUCAAAAUUGCAUGAAUCACUGUCUUAUUUCUCAGUUUGUGUCUCUGCAAUACCUAACGCGCGGUGAUGUACUAGUUAGAACCUGUAACGCUUCUCUGGAAAAGCUUUGGAUCAGGACAAAUGAAGCUUUUCUUGGUCAUUAAACCCAGACAAGCCUCGGCGUCUUCGUGUCCCGCCCCACACGGUGGGCAGCCUGCGGAAACGCGUUCAGCUCAUGGAGGAACUUCCGUCAGUCUGUCAGUGUCUCAUUUCCUCCGUGCAAAUCACAGUAUUCAUCUUUGUAAUUCUGGAGUAAGUCCACAAACGUACAGACAUGCAUAUGUGUCCAUAUACCUGUCUCUACAUAUUAUUGAAACCUGAUAAGAGAACAUAAAGGGGGCGAAGCACAGCACAAAAUAAUCCUUAUUACAGAGCCUGCAGGCCAGGCGGUCGGUGCUCAAAACAUGCCCUUUGCUGCCACCAAGUGGCGCUUUUUGGAAUCCUUUUAUCACAUCGCCACUGCACGCCUCGCUCUGCCCCAUCUCAUUCCUGAGACAACACUUCUGUUACUCUGAGAAACUGGGAUAUUUGAAAAGACCGGGCAAGCCUUUCCUAAAUCAAGGCUUUACAGUAUGGAUGCCAUGAAAACUCCACGACAAAGUUCUUCAGAAAGACAAUGUCAAAAGGGUUCCAAGUAAACAAACACUAAAAACUCCUCAGCCCCGUCUGGCUGCUCGGCUUCCACUCAAAACUCCUCAGCCCCGUCUGGCUGCUCGGCUUCCACUCAGUAAAUUUCCAUUACAUUUUCCAGCUUUUCUAAGGAUUUUGUAGCAGGAGUGGCUUCGGGCUGCCUGGACCACCACCACGUGAAAAGGAGCUGCUUACGGAAGGUCUAGAUAUAAAAUUCUGCCCAGGAUCAGAACCUUCUCUGCAGCAGAAUCCUCACCUACAACUUCAAAUAUUUAUGGAAAGAUGAAUUUAGUCUCAUUUCGGCUAAAAGGAUAAAAGAUUUUUUUGCAUUUUGGUGGUGGGAGGUAUGGAGGUG